ACAAGCCACUGGAGUGUCUGCGUUUCUUUUCUGUGGACGUUGUCACCUUUCCCUUCAUUUUGGAGGAGGAAGACGCCCAGCUUUGAAAUGCUUGGGGCAUAAAACUGAUCCUUGGUUAAGAUCAGCAGAGGCUUGCUGUGUGCAACAUAAAUUGUCAGAAAGAUGUAGCACUUAAGCCUCAGGAACGUGUGGAGAAACGCCAGACGCCCCUGACCAAGAAGAAACGAGAAGCACUUACCAAUGGCUUGUCCUUUCAUUCAAAGAAGAGCAGACUCAGCCACCCACACCACUACAGCUCAGAUCGAGAAAAUGACCGCAAUCUCUGCCAGCACCUUGGGAAGAGAAAGAAAAUGCCGAAGGCACUCAGACAGCUCAAGCCAGGACAGAACAGCUGCAGGGACAGUGACAGUGAAAGUGCCAGUGGAGAAUCCAAGGGCUUCCACCGGAGCAGCUCUCGGGAAAGGCUCAGUGAUAGUUCAGCUCCUUCCAGCUUGGGAACAGGCUACUUC
rnacentral:sRNA from 1 species